AUAGCAUAUUCUUUAACUAAAUAGAUAAUACUAGAUUGUGAUGUUUACAUGCAGCCACUAACAUGCUGAAUUUAUCACGGAAUCACAUCAACUACAGACAAACCAACUAGUGAUUAAAAAUCAAGAGCUAGGCUCUUUCUAGUUCUUCAAAUUGCAAUGCCGAAGCUUAAAGAAGAAAAAGAUUUCUUUUAACAUACACGAAUUGCAACAGUUGUUCAAUACCACAUAUUGCAAACCAAGGCUGAAAUAUGUUAUCGCAACCAUGUAUUAACUCAAUCCUAAGCAUAUGAGCUUAGCCUAGCGUUGAGCCAUGAAUAUAGGAAGGCAAUACUGUCAAGUCAGAUGUACAAUCGGAGACCUUCAAGCUACCAAACAUGGAUAUCAGUAGCUCAGUCAAGCUGAAACUAUCAUGAACUUGGAGUGGUUUUCUUAUUCUAACUGAACCAAUAGCUAAUUCUAAUAGAUGACACGAUCAUGUUCCACAAUCCCCUUUGACAAGGUAUUAAAAUGAAUGUAUGCAGACUUCAUAGCAGUAAAAUCUCCUGCUGCAAUCAUCUAAACCACAAACAUAAGUUGGCCAACAGUGAAUGCUCUAGCAUCUUCAACAGAAGGGAAUGCGCAGCUAAUAAUGAUCAAAUUCAAACAAGGUCAACAGAUAUAGUCUAGAAUACUUAAAAUAUGAGUACAUAACAUGCUACAAUCAGAUGCAUAGAUUCAUUGAGAAGAUACUAGCAUAGCUUGUAAACCACAUUAUCAUACGAUUGCAUAUGCAUUAACCUUAACAAUCAAUGUAAAAAAAAGCUACUGCUAGUAAAAAAUCUAGAGUUCAGUCCAAAACUUCACAUUAGUUCAACCUUAGGGCACAUCAAAGUCCAGGAAAUCAGCAUAACAAACAAUACUACAUUUGAGCCAACAGUAAAAACAAAAGAGAAGAAACAGAUGGCUAUAUUCCUUUCAAUUUCUCAUUAAAAUUUCAAACACAUGUGAGGACCCUUGCAAUCACUUGCUGCUUAUGGUUGGCAGAUUUACCUGGAAAUGAGGCAAAAACCAAGAGAUAGGGAAUCAGUGAUCUGGUGACAGAAGAGCAGCAACAAAUAUCCCCAAAGCUUUUCAUAAUCCAAACUCAAAACAUUUCAAUCAAAGAGAGCACAUGAAUAAUGCAUUUAUCAUUGAAGAACCACCGAACCCCCAAAAGUGUAAUGAAAUAGUGUUUUUCAUUUUGCCUUCGGCUAUUUCUCUCUUUUUUUUUUUGACUGCUCCCUCUGGAGGACCCCCCUAAGGCAGGAAAAUGUGUCCUUUUAUGGGAAAAGGAAUGGGACACCACUGUGAAAUUCGUUUUUCCUCUUAGUCCCCGAAAUCUUGGCUAGCUUGCCAAGUAAAGCCCCUUUUCUAGCUUCUAGGAAGUUUCCUAGGCAAUUACCCAAUCUACCCCUGAAUUCCCCUGAUUUUACUGCAAAAGACUUAUUCGGUUAUAGGUCCAACGACCUAACAAUUGAACAAGGCCUGGGCUCAAACUGAACUGUGAGAUGAAUUCACGGCCCAAAUUGCACACAAAUUUUCCAAACUCAAACUACAUUAGAAUAACUCGACAACAUAGAAUGCAAAAAUUAGCUCAGCUAGACCAAACAAAUUUAAACAAAACUGGCCAGAAAACUCAUAGAAAAAAAAUUGAAAAAGACUGCUUUAAAGAGAACAAAAUGGGCAAAACCAAUUCUGUCUAAAACUUGUCCAACUUUAAAACUGCGUACUGGAAAGGAAAGAAGAAAGGAAGGGGGGGGAGGGGGGAAGGGACAAGAUCUGAGAAGCCAAAUAGUAAAUCAAAUAGAAAAGGAUGAAGAUACUAACUAAGUUUGGACUCGACCUCGACUGACCUUCCAAAUUAAACCUUAAAAGGAUAUUAAUCGUCUGUUUUUUGUCAAUAACAGGCGAAUAACAUCGCUUUGUGAUAAAACCGGCCUUGAAUAUUCAUAGAACUUGGAGAGUUACCAUUGCAUGAACGGGUUUCGACUUUGGCUUUUAGGGUUGGAAAUCUAGAUCCAAGAUUCAAGAAAUUUCGGUUGGAUUUGAUGAAAACAGGUUUGAGAUUUGAGUUGUGGGGGCCAAGGUGAGUCUAUGGAAUAAUUUUAGUGGAGAUUGAAUACUUGCCACCGGCAACCAUGGCUGAGUUGCUCAAGGACAGCGUAAGUUUAGUAAAGAAGAUGACAGAAACGAUUAGUUUGGUCUUAGGAUAAUGGGGAAUUUUAGACACAUUUAAGAGAAUCAGGGAAUUGACACCAGCCCUUUGAUUAGAUUUGGAUGGAAGGCCAGGAUUUUUUUUAACUCUUGAACUCAAAAUGACAUAGUAUGGCUUCAGUACUACGUCCUUUUAGUUGUCUCCAAGCCUGAUGUUGGACCGGGUAAAAUGGGGUGAAUCUGGACUGGAAUUGGGGUAAUUGUUUGGACUUGAUAUUUUAAUUGGUUUGGUCCAAAACAUUUCUUCAAUUUUAAUUCCAAUUUUUCAUUUUCAUUCUUUCUUUUUUCAUUUUCAAGAUAAUCAUAAAAAUCCAAAUUAAUUCCUAGAACCUAAUUGACAUUUAUACACUAAUUAAGCCUAAAUGAUAAUUAACACUAUUAAUUAAACAAGAAAUUUUAAAGAAAAACUACUUGAAAAAUCAAAUUGAAAAUUAGAAGUGCAAAAGUAAACUAUUUUUGUGAUUUUUAUUUUUCAUAAAGCAAAUAAUUUACAAAAUACCUUCAAAAUGUAGAAAUAAAUUCUAAACGCAAUGCAUAGUAUUUUUGUAUUUUUUUCAUGAUUUAAAUAACAAACUUUCACAUAAGAAUGCAAACAAUUAACAAAACUACUAUGAAAAAUCUACGAAAUUGCAAACAUAGAAAAAAAUACUUUUUGAAUUUAUGGGAGUAAUUCAAAUAGAGCAAAAAUCACGUGCUCAGAGCUGCCCCUCUUUGCUCGGGAACACGAAGAGUUUCCGUGCAAAGAUAAGUGAUCGGAUUUGAGCGAUUUUUGCCCGUUCGAAUACUCCGUGUGAAGUAUUUUUGAAAUUUUUGACCGCACCCUGCUUCUGAGGUUGCCUACAUAACCUUGGCUAAAAAGGAAUCAGGUCAGUGUAGUUCGGGAAGGUUUGGUAACUGAGACUACCAUGAAACCGUGGUUUCACUGUUGCUGCUGCUACUGUGUACCGCACCCCUUAUUACACCGUGUCAAAAUAAUGAAGCUAGACUAAGCUAUGAUCUAUGAAUUACAAAAAAUCCUAUAUAUGUCUUCAAACUUGCUCUUGUGGUUCUUGUUACCUUGAAUUUUUGUUGGAGAUGUUUUGCCCUUUCUUCAAGUGAUGCUUUUGACUGCUAAAACUUGAAAAUAUGUCUUUGUUCUUCAGGAUGACUCCUGAUUGCUAAAAACUUGAAAUAAAUGCCUAUGUUCUUCAGGCGGGCUCCUGAAUGCUGAAACUUGAAAUAAAUGCCUUGUUCUCCAGGUGGGCUCCUGACUGCUGACACUGGGUCUUGAAAAGUAUUCCCUUGUUCUACAAGUGGGCGCCUGGAUAUCAAAACAUUGUUCUCAAAAAUUACUCCCUUUUUCUACAAGCGGGCUCCUGGAUACCAAAUCUUGAAUCUUUGAAAAGUAUUCCCUUGUUCUACAAGUGGUCGCCUGGAUACCCAAACUUGAAUUCUUGAAAUGUAUUUCCUUGUUCUACAGGUGGGCGCCUGUUUAUUAGAACUUGAAAUCUUGAAAUUUGAAAUGUAUUCCCUUGUUAUACAGGUGGACGCCUGAUUACCCAGACUUGAGAUUUGGAAUGUAUUCCCCUGUUCUCUAGGUGGGCGCCCAAUUGUCAAAACUUGAAAUUUGAAAAAUAUUCCCUUCUUCUACAUGUGGGCGCCUGGAUACCAAAACUUGAAAUCUUGAAAAGUAUUUCCUUGUUCUAUAGGUGAGCGCCUGAUUAUCAGAACUUGAAAUCUUGAAAUUUGAAAUGUAUUCCCCUGUUCUACAGGUGGGUGCCUGAUUACCAAGACUUGAGAUUUGGAAUGUAUUCACUUGUUCUCCAGGUGGGCGCCUGAUUAUCAAAACUUGAAAUUUGAAAAAUAUUCAUUUGUUCUAUAAGUGGGCGCCUGAAUACCCAAACUUGAAAUCUUGUAAUGUAUUCCCUUGUUCAAUAGGUGGGCGCCUGAUUGUCAGAACUUGAAAUCUUGAAAUUUGAAAUGUAUUCCCUUGUUCUACAGGUGAGCGCCUGAUUACCAAGACUUGAGAUUUGGAAUUUAUUCCCUUGUUCUCAGGGUGGGCGCCUGAUUAUCAAAACUUGAAAUUUUAAAAAUAUUCCCUUGUUCUACAGGUAUGUGCCUGGACACCAGAAUUUGAAUCUUUGAAAAGUAUUCUCUUGUUCUACAGGUGGGUGCGUAAACACCAAAAUUUGAAUCAUUGAAAUGUUUUCCCUUGUUCUAUAGGUGGCGCCUGAAUACUGAAAUUUUAACUUUAAAAUGUAUUCCCUUGUUCUACAGGUGGGAGCCUGAAUAUAAAAAUUUGAACUUUAAAAUGUAUUCCCUUGUUCUACAAGUGGGCGCCUGCAUACUGAUAUUUGAACUUUGAAAUGUAUUCCCUUGUUCUACAGGUGGGCGCCUGGAUGUUAAAAUUUGAACUUUGAAAUGUAUUUCUUUGUUCUACAGGUGGACGCCUGAAUACCCAAACUUGAAAUCUUGAAAUGUAUUCCCUUGUUUUACAGGUGGGCGCCUGAAUACCCAAACUUGAAAUCUUGAAAUGUAUUCCCUUAUUCUACAGGUGGGCACCUGAAUACCAAAACGUAGAUCUUGAAAAGGAUUCCUUUGUUCUACAGGUGGGUGCCUGAAUACUGAAAUUUGAACAUUGAAAUGUAUUCCCUUGUUCUAGAGGUGGGCGCCUGGAUAUUUGAAAUUUGAACUUUGAAAUGUAUUCCCUUGUUCUUCAGGUGGGCGCCUGGAUACCCAAACUUGAAAUCUUGAAAUGAAUUCCCUUGUUCUACAGGUGGGCGCUUGAAUACCAAAACUUAGAUCUUGAAAUGUAUUCCCUUUUUCUACAUGUGGGCUCCUGAAUACCAAAACUUAGAUCUUGAAAAGUAUUCCCUUGUUCUAUAGGUGGGUGCUUGGUUGCUGAAAUUGCUGCCUUUAAACAUGAUUCCAAAAAAACAAGACAAAAGAAAUUUUCUACCCUAGUUGGUGAUAGGCGCAUCUGUGAGUGUUAAUCAAAUCCCCUUACCAAAUAUCUUUAAAUCUAAGAUAAGUCCCAUUAUCCAUGAGGAUCCUCACAAUUCUUAACUGAUGACAACUUUGAGAUUAUGUUAUGUUUCUCAACAUGUAUUAUUUUCCACUAUGUCUUGUUAUGAGUUAUAUCUGAUGGGGACCUGUUGGUGACUGAUGAUUAAAACUACUCCCCAUUAUCCAGGCAGGUCCUGAAAUCUCUUAAUUAGAUGACCAACUGUGUCUACUUGGGGUCAGUAUCUAGAGCUACGUCCCAUUAUUCAAGGGGUUCCUGACAACUCCUACGAUUAAAUUCCAUUACCCAGGAAGAUUCUAAUGACUCUUGUUGAGGAAGUGUUUGGAUUUGCCCAUGCUACCUGACUGUUUGUGUUCUAGGCUAAGUCCCAAUUUUCUGGAGGGUCCUAACAACUCUUAACUGAAUCCUACUUCAACAUGCAAGUCAUUUUAUGACCUUUACUAUCCAUGAUUACCUCUAACCUUUAAAUGAGUCCUAUUUUCCAGGAACAUCCUGAGGGUUCCAACUUUUUCCAAUUCUAACUUCUGGUUGUUUCUGCUAGUGAUUAUUUUCCAGAAGGGUUUCUACAACUCAUACUGGGGGAGGUAUUGGUGCUUGCCCAUGUUACCCGCGCUUGUCUAGGUUUUUAAACUGAGGCCCAUUUCAAAAUCUAUGCCCCUUUUAACCCUUAGUUGUUUCUGUUGGGGUUUGCUAAUUAAAGUUUGUCCGCUUGUGCUCUUUGUUGGGGAGGAUAUUUAUGAUGGACUAUGUCCCUUUUGAGUUUGAGCUGAGUCCCACUUCCAGGUGGGCCCUGAGAUUUUGAUCAUACCUGCCAUGUGCCUGCCUUCUCCUGCGGAUGCCCCCCCCCCUUAGGCUCUUUCAGAAUUUCUCUGCCCUUGUGUCAAUCAAAGAGAACUUGUUAGUUUUAAAAGUGGUGAUUUGAUUUCGGCAUUUUUGUUGAAAGUGGUCUCCCCACUGUCGUGUUUUGUUGUGUUCCACUUUCCAUUUUGAUGAUGAGCUACUUGAGUUGCUUAGCUGACCCCUGAACCUUUUACAUCUUUACUUGGCUCCCCAUUGUUGUGUUACAUUUCUAGCCCUUUUGCCAGAAUCCUUGCACCUCUCUCGAGAUUACCAAGUCAAUGUAUUAUGCUUGACAGACCCUCUGACCCUUGUAACUUUACUCUGCCUCUCCUCUUUGUGUUGCAUUUCGGAUCCUUUGUUAGAAUCCUUUCCUGAGAUUACCUUGUCAGUUUACGAUGUUUGGAUGACCCCAUAACCUUUGUAGUUUUACAUUGCAUUCACAUCUUUGUGAGGUGCCUCUUCUCUUUUCCAUCUCUUGCCUUUUCCAUCAAUUCUAUCCUUGGAACUCUCGUGAAUCCCUCCCCUUGCUGUUUCAAAAUUUGCUGCCUUUGUUACACUUUUGGGUGCCAUGCGCUUUGUCAGUUUGGGAGCUGAUACUAGGCUUUGAAAUUUCUCCUGUUUGCUUAAACAAAAGACUUUAGAGACUCGAAAGAAAAAUGAAAUACAAUGACUCAGAACUGUAUUUAGGGUAAAGAAUUCCCCAUUCACUGACUAUUGAAAGGAAGUGAAAGGAAACUUAUCCGAGCAAAAAAAAUAGCUGGUUUUUCAUGAUCAUGACAUGCACUUCGGCCUAGUCGACCUAGUCUGUCCCGAUGACCGUCCUUCUGUUGCCAUGCUUUUGUUGUUUUUUGAAAAUUUCUAACCCAAUUCCUUCUACCAAACCCUAGCUUUGCUUGCCUUAUGGUUUUCUGAAUGGAUUUUCACCAACGGACCCUUUCCGGUUGUUGCUUCUUGCCUUGCCCUCGCCUCGUGGUGUCCGCGAGGGUUCUCACCAAUAAGGCUCUUAUUUUUAUUUCUCUCAAACUCUUGUAGCUUUAUGGUGCCCAUGAGGGUUUUCACCAAUGAGACUUCUCUCAUUUUUAUUAUUUUAUAUUAUUUUUUUCCAGCUCCUGUCGCCAUACGGUACCCGUAAGGGUUUUCACCAAUAAGACUCUCUCAUUUUUAUUUCUCUCAAACUCUCAUCGCCUUAUGGUUACCAUGAGGGUUUUCUCCAAUAAGAAUCUCUCAUUUUUAUUAUUUUUUGCAGGAACUAGAGUGUCGUCCCAAGGUAUGGUCCACUUCUUCUUGCUUUUCCCGGCAUUUCUUACAGAUUGAUCAGAAGGUCUUUCUUUGGACUGUAAUGUAGGCUUUUUGAUAGGGUUAGAAAUAAGGGGUGUGAAAGGCUCAAAAUUGCUUUUAUGGGUUCAAGAUUUACAACUUUCGGAAUCCAAACCAACGCAAUUUCUGUCCCAGUUUCUUGCUUGUGGCUUUUGGAUUUAUUUGAGUAUGACCGAGCGGUGAGUCUGCCUACGUAUUCUAAAAAGGAAUCACGUCAAACGUAGUUCCUACUGAUUCCUUACUUUCACUAUUGUUUGUUUUCCUCCCCCCCCCCCCNNNNNNNNNNNNNNNNNNNNNNNNNNNNNNNNNNNNNNNNNNNNNNNNNNNNNNNNNNNNNNNNNNNNNNNNNNNNNNNNNNNNNNNNNNNNNNNUUGUUUGUUUUCCCCCCCCCCCCCCCUCUUUCUACUGUUCCUUUCUCACUUUUCUCUUUUUCUUUUUCUCUUUUUUUUUCUUCUUCUUUUCUUUUUCUUUUCUUUUCUUUUCUUUUUUUUCUCUCUUUUCCUUUCCUUUCUUUUCUUUCUUUCUUUUCUCUUUUCCCUUCAUUCUUUUCUCUUCUUCCUUUGUAUUGCUUUCUUUUCUCUUUUCGUUUUUGUCCUUUCACUGCCUACUUAUGAUUUUGCUUCUAACUUUCGUUACUGAUUCCGAAAGAAGGAUAUGCAAGAAAAUAAUUGAAGCUCAAAAGGGUUAACAAAGGGUAAAGUGUUUAGAUAGCUGAAUAAAAUGCCUUCGACAUUUCAAUCUCCAACAUGCCAAGUAAAAACAAACGCCAAGUGUAGACAAUGGUUCCAACAAAAGAAAAUCAUACAUAAUAUCUUUUGACUGCAUCUGAAUUAUCCAUUUCUACAUAUUUUCCUUCCACAUCUGUUACAUACAAUGCCCCAUCGGACAACACUCUUGACACAACAAACGGUCCUUGCCAGUUUGGAGCGAACUUGCCCUUUGCCUCGGCCUAGUGAGGGUGGAUGCGUUUCAAACUAAUCGACCCACUUCAAACUUUAUUUGAUGCACUUUCUUAUUAUAUGCUCUGGACUUCCUUUAUUGAUUCAACUGGCCGUGACACACCGCUGCGAGCCUUUUUUCAUCAAUCAAACUCAACUGCUCCAAACGAGCUUUGACCUAUUCUUCAUUGUCGAUUUCUGCCUCAGCCACGAUCCGAAGGGAGGGGAUUUCAAUUUCAGCCGAGAUUACUGCUUUUUUGCCAUACACCAUCAAAUAUGUGGUUGCCCCUACCGAGGUGCAAACAGUAGUGUGAUAACCUACAAUGGAAAGGGUAACCUCUCAUGCCACUGCCUGGACCCUUCCACCAUUUUACGAAGUAUCUUCUUUAUGUUCUUAUUGGCCGCCUCAACCGCUCCGUUCGCCUUGGGGCAUUACAGGGUAGAAUUUCUAUGUGUGAUCUUGAACUGGUGGCAUACCUCUCUCAUUAAGUGACUGUUGAGUUUUGCCCCAUUGUCAGUGAUGGGAGUCUUGGGGAUUCCAAACCGACAAAUGAUAUUUGCAUGCACAAAGUCGACCAUAGCCUUCUUGGUCAGUGCCUUGAAAGUUUUUUCUUCAACCCAUUUGGUGAAAUAGUCAAUAGCAACCAAGAAAAAUUUGUGUCCGUUAGAAGCUGCUGGCUUAAUGGGCUCGAUGACGUCCAUGCCCCAAGCAACGAAAGGCCAUAGUGCAGACAUUGUAUGCAAUUCAGACGGCGAAGAGUGAAUUAAGUCUCCAUGCACCUGACACUGAUGACAUUUGCGCACGAACCUGAUACAAUCCCGCUCUAUGGUGAGCCAAUAAUAUCCUGCCCGGAGAUUCUUCUUUGACAAAACAUUUCUGCUCAUGUGUGGCCCCCAGAUGCCAACAUGCACCUCAUUUAUGAUGGCUGUCGCCAGCCCAGCAUCUACGCAUCUUAAUAAACCAAGAUCCGGCGUCCUUUUGCAUAAUAUUCAUCCACUGAAGAAAAACCCAAUUGACAAAUGAUAGAUUGUUCUCUUCUAGUCACUCGUGGCUUUUACCGGGUGCACACCUCUCCUGAUAUAUUCCUUGAUGUCGUGGAACCAAGGCUUGCAGUCAAGCUCUUCUUCCACCAUGUUGCAAGAAGCACGUUGAUCAUGGACUCGGAUAUGUAUCGGGUCAAUAUAAGCCUUAUCCGGGUUAUGUAACAUUGACGCCAGAGUAGCCAAGGCAUCAGCAACUUCAUUGUGAAUUAUAGGGAUGUGCCUGAGCUCUAUUGACUGUAAUCAUUGACAAAAAUCAUGAAAGCAUUGCCGGUAUGGUAUGAGCUUUAAGACUCUUGUUUCCCACUCCCCUUGAAUCUGGUGUACCAGAAGGUCCGAGUCUCCCAAGACCAAGACUUCUUGGACACCUAUGUCUACUGCUAAUCUCAGACCCAAAAUUCAUGCCUCAUAUUCUGGCAUAUUGUUGGUGCAAUAGAAGCGGAGUUCAAAUGUGACUAAGUAAUGAGGCCCUUCAUCAGAAAUGAUCACUGCUCCUAUCCAACGCCUUUCAUGUUGGAAACCCCAUCGAAGAACAAUUUCUAUCCCGACUUCUCAUCCCAUUCCAUUUCAUCGAUAUGCAUUACUUCCUCGUCCGAGAAAUAUGUAUCCAAGGACUCAUAUUCUUCACCUAUUGGAUUCUCUCCUAAAUGGUCUACCAAUGCUUGUGCUUUCAUGGCAGUCCUAGUCAUGUAGAUAAUGUCAAACUCAGUGAGCAAGAGUUUCCAUUUCGCGAGCCUUCUUGUGGGCAUGAGCUUCUGGAAAAUGUACUUCAAUGGGUCCAGACGUGAUAUGAGAUAAUUGGUAUAUGAUAACAAGUAGUGCUUUAACUUCUGGGCUACCCACGUCAAAGCGCAACAUGUCCUUUCAAGAUAAGUAUACUUAACCUCAUAGACCAUAAAUUUCUUGCUGAGGUAGUAUAUGGCCUGCUUCUUUCUCCUGGUAACAUCGCGCUGACCUAACAUGCAUCCAAAUGAGUUAUCCAGGACUGUCAAAUAAAAGAUCAAGGGCCUUCCUGGUUCUGGCAGGACCAACACCGGUGGGUUCGAUAAAUACUCCUUUAUCUUAUCAAAAGCCUCCUGGCACUCUCCCGUCCAUUUCACCGCCACCAUCCUUUUUCAAUGGCUUAUUGAUGGGCUCGCAGAUGGUUGUGAGCCGAGCAAUCUUCCCAGUAGAUGCAUCACUUCUGUUUUAUUCCUCGGUGGCGGUAGCUCUUGUAUAGCUUUGAUGGGUCUAGUUCCAUGCCUCGUCGGCUGACUAUGAACCCUAGCAACUUCGCUGAGGGUACCCCAAAUGCGCAUUUUACUGGGUUGAGUUUGAGGUCAUAACUGCGUAGCCUUUGAAAGAAUUUCCUCAGGUUUUUGACAAGAUCGAAUUGCUUUCUGGACUUCACUAUCACAUCAUCCAUAUAUAGCAAUAUGUCCCCCACAUCAUGAUGAAUGUUGUUUUAUCCGCAUCUUCUUCAUCCAUUAGGAUCUAGUGGUAACCCGAAUAACAAUCCACGAACGACCCGAUCUCAUGCUUCGCACAGUUGUCGAUCAGUAUGUGAAUGUUCGGCAUGGGGAAGUUGUCUUUUGUGCUCGCUUUGUUGAGUUAAGGUAAUCAACACACACCCUGGUUUUACCAUCCUUCUUUGGUACGGGCACAACAUUAGCUAACCAGGUGGGAUAUAGUGUGACUCAGAUGACUUUUGCCUCAAACAGCUUGGUCACGUCCUCAUUGAUUUUCAUGCUCACAUCAGUUUUACAUUUUCUCAACUUUUGUUUGACGGGAGGGCAGGCUGGGUCAGUGGGCACUCUUGAACUACCAAGUCGGUGCUCAAUCCGGGCAUAUCAUCAUAGGACCAUGCAAAGACAUGUUUUUACUCAAGCAGGACUUCAAUUAUUUGUUUCCUAUGUUGUGAUUCCAGAUAGACACUUAUUUUUGUAUCUAUGACAUUAUUCGGGAUUCUUAAAUUGUACGCCUUUGUAUUGGUCAGGUUUGGUUUGGGUUUCUCCUCAAAUUGGCUCAACUCUUUACUUAUUUCAUCCCAUUCUCCUUCAUCAUCGUACUCUGACUGAUCUUCAUGCUCUAUUUCUUGAAUGAUUAUUUUUGAACUAGACCGAUUUUUAAAACUGGGCCGAAGGGUCCUUGUACAUGUGAGAUCAUUGGAACCAGCAUGAAAAUCACUGUACAAAAGAGAAAAGAAAGAGAAGAAAAGAAAAAUGGGAACUAUCAACAUUGCUGGAAAAGAAAUUGUAUUUCAUUAGAAUCAAAAGAUAACAGAGUUUACACAUCAAAACGGAUGGAAAUAAUAACUGAAUUAACAAUUCUGAAGCUAAUCCAAACUAGACUGAAAGAAAAAUCAAAGCCGACUACCAAGACUCCCUCUGGGUAGGAAGAGGUGUGGCUUCCCAGUUAUUGACUUUUGCGCAUGCUCCCACAAACUGCACGUAUGCCCUACUCGAUCCUUCUCUUGCCUCGAUCAUAUUGACCUCAUUGAACAUCCUUUCUAACUCCUUAUCCAAAUAACCAUCCGCGUCGAUCAGCGGGCCGAGAAUAUUUUGCAUGGAGCAAUUGCUAAUACUGAUCUUGACAAAGGGUUUAGACAAUCUUGGGAUGGGCUUUAGGAGGGCCUAGGCCCUCUGCUUUAACUUUCUGGAUUGCCUCAUGUCUGCAGUUGUAGGCUUGAACCCUAGACCAAAAGUGUCCUGAUUUUUGGGGAGGGACACCGGUUGCAAGAUACCUUGUAGAGAAGCAACCAAUCCUUUGGCGGGCACGAAACCAUUCUUCAACAUCUCUGAAGCCACCAUGACUGACACGGCUGCUAUCUUUGGAGAUGUGACAAUUUCACCUUUUGGGAUCUUCUCAACUGACAUCGUGUCAAAUACCUGGUAUACCCAUAGCCCUUUGUUGUCUUUGGAUUCAAUAAAAGGUACGGUAGCAUCACCUGAAACACACAGAUUAUUUUCACCGUGCACCACAAUCUCUUGCUUAUCCCAUUCAAAUUUUACCAUCUGGUGCAAAGUAGAUGGCACUCCCUUGGCUGCGUGAAUCUAGGGCCUGCCGAACAACAAGUUAUAAGAAACUACCACGUCCAACACUUAAAAUUUCAUGUUGAACACAACAGGCCCUAUUAUUACUUCCAGCACUAUAUCCUCUACUGAGUCUUUGCCUCUUCCAUCGAACCCGCGAACACAAAUGUUAUUCUUGUGGACCCUUUCAUUCUCAACCUUCAACUUUAUCAAUGUAGAGAGAGGAAAAAUGUUUGUACUGGACCCGUUGUAACCUAGGGCCCUAAUGACCACAACAUCUUCACAUUUCACAGUCAAAUAAAGGGCCCGAUUGUGCUCAGUUCCCUCCGUAGGGAGCUCGUCAUCAGAGAAGGUGGCCCGAUUUACCUCGAAUAUCUUGUUUGCAAUCUUCUCCAAAUGAUUCACUGUUAUCUUAUCAGGGACUUGGCUUCGUUCAAAAUCUUCAUCAACACCUGGCGAUGUUCAUCUGAAUGGAUUAAUAAGGAUAGUAAGGAGAUCUAAGCUGGUGGUUUCUUCAAUUGCUCUAUGAUGGAGUAGUCCUGCAUUUUCAUCUUCUUCAAUAAUUCUGUGAGCUUUGUUUAAAAUCUUCAUCAAUGCCCGGCGAUGUUCAUCUGAAUUGAUUAAUAAGGACAGUAAGGAGAUCUGAGCCGGUGUUUUCCAAAAUUGCUCUAUGAUGGAGUAGUCCUACAUUGUCAUCUUUUUCAAGAAUUCUUCCGCCUCUUCUUCCGAGACAGCUUUCUUCACUGAUUUUGGGUUAUCUUUAGAGAUCAUACUUUCCCUCAACUCCUCAGGGGCGAAGUACCUCCCUGACCGAGUUAAACCUCGGGCUUCACAAACUUCUUCCCUAACUUCCUUCCCUUUGUACAUCUUAAUUGCUUGUUCAUAUCUCCAUGGAACGACUUCGUUGUCGACCACUAGUAGCUGAAUUACUGGUUUCACAAUGAGAGGCUCUAUGCGAACACCUUCCCCAACCAUGACAGGCUCUCUAGCUGCCCCGUGUACUAUCACUUUUGCUUGUUCCUGUUUUGGUGCGAUCGUGCAUGAUGAGCUCCCUUGAACUAUGAAAAGUUUGAUGUUUCUUCCUUUUGCCUCGAUCACUGAAUUCUCACUUCUCACAUUCUCAAUUGGCUUAACUUCACUGGAUUUUAUCAUCAUUACUUCAUUAAGGGAUUUUUGGACUCUCCCCCUUUCUCCACGAUCUCAAUCAUGUUGGUUUCAUGAUGGGUCGGCAACUGGUUUUGGUUAAUAUUGGGUGCGUCUAGAGUCUGCACUUCAAUCCAGUGGGAGUCAAUAAGUUCCUGGAUAGCAUUAUUUAAAUGGCAACACUUUUUGGUAUCAUGCUCCGGUGCACCAGAUCAGUAUUCACAGCUAACAGAGUAAUCUAGAUUCUUCGGGGGAGGAUUUGGCAAUUUUGCUUCGAUCGGUCUCAACAUAUCCAGUUGUCGCAGCCUGUGGAAUAAACUAUUGUAGGAUUCUCCCAACGGAGUGAAAGUCUUCUUCUUCUACACCCUUUUAUUUCUCAGGACUAGAUUGGCUCGGAAGGCGGGUUUCAGGGGUUGUUGGUAGGCUAUUAGAGGUGGGUGAGGAUUUUGUGGAGUUCGGUAGGUAUUUUGUGCGGCUGGCGCACGCCAUUGUGCGUGGGUGGGAGGUUGGGUAUACACUUGUGUGUGAUGGACUGAGAAACAAGGUUCUAACAGUGGAUAGUAAUGUUUUGGUGGGCCGUAUAGAGUGUGUGGGUAUGUUUGGUGAUGAGGACGGGUUAGGGGUGUAAUGGGAUGGAGCCCGAGGCUCGAACCAAGUUCCCGACUCCACUAUUGUUACUUCCUCCUUCUUCUUCUUUCCAAAUGUUCCCCCAGCUCCGCCCUGGAUGGCCUGAGUGGUUGCCUUAAUUGCAGAGUAGCUCAUGAUUUUAUUGGAUUUGAGGCCUUCCUCGACCCUACUUCUCCCAGACUCCACUAUUGUUACUUCCUCCUUCUUCUUCUUUCCAAAUGUUCCCCCAGCUCCGCCCUGGAUGGCCUGAGUGGUUGCCUUAAUUGCAGAGUAGCUCAUGAUCUUGUAGGAUUUGAGGCCUUCCUCGACCAUACUUCCCAUCUUAACUACUUCUUCGAAAGAUUUACCUACUGCUGGCACCAAAUUCCCGAAAUAGGUAGGCUCCAGGGCCUGUAGGAAAUAGUCAACCAUCUCACUCUCCUUUAUUGGAGGAUCAACUCUGGCUCCUUGUUCCCUACACCAUAACAGUAUUCCCUGAAGCUCUCGUUGUGUUUCUUCUCCAGUUUUGUCAGAGAUAGACGAUCCGGGACAAUAUCGAGAUUAUAUUGAAAGUGGCAAGCAAACGCUUUUGCUAGUUCAUCCCAAGUAUACCACCGAUUGUGAUCCUUCCGAGUGUUCCACUCCAGUGCCGACCCACUUAAACUCUGGCUAACGUACGCCAUUAGCGAUUCAUCUUUUCCUCCUGCUCCUCGUUUGAUGCAAAACCCCCUUAGAUGCGCGACCGGAUCACCAUAUCCAUCAUACAAGUCAAAUUUAGGCAUCUUGAAACCUGGAGGCAACUGAACGUCUGGAAAUAGAUAAAGGUCCUUGAACGCCACCCUCACCUGGCCACCUAACCCCCCGCAUGUACCUGAAUGAUCGUUCUAGACUUCUAACCUUUCUAAGCACCUCCUCCUGCUCAGGAUUUUUGGUUGGCUUUUCAGCUUCUGCCGGGAUUUCGAGACGGGGAGCAUAGGAUUAAGGCUCAUGGGCUUUGUACGAAGGUUCUGGUAGAUAGUAUUGGUGGUCGUAAGCUUGAAGCAAGGGAUCACUUGACAAUCUAUGGAGUGCAGGAGGAGGAGGUUCCACAUAGAUGGGGGCAAUUGGCGAGGGGGGGGGGAGGAGCGACUUUAGGUAGUGGAGCUGGUGGUGGUUGAGAGGUCGUACCCUGGUGCUGCGAGUAACUAGGGAAACUUGAGGGUGGAUCAAUGGUGGAGUGGUGAGGAGCUUGGGCUAGUGGCGGGAUGAAGGUUGGAUUAGCAGGAUAGGUUGGGGGUGGCUGUCCUCUUGCCCAUGCCUCUCUAGUCUGGAACAAAACACCAAAAACUUGUCAAUGGUUAGGUUUUGACAUGUAAGUGGCGACGUAUUAGGGGGUGAAUGCACCUAAACAAUGAUCGGUUUCUACAUGCAUCGGUUGCUUGCAUCAUUAUGUCUUUUAUUUUCUUCAUUUGCUAUGCCUCUUUUUUAGCUUUAUUCUCUUAUUCUCUCUUAUUUUGUUUUUCUGGUCCGUUUCCUUGCUUUUCCUCUACUUUCCUCUCCUAUUCUUUCCCUUUCAUUUCUUUUCUAUUUUUUUCUUUUUCUUUAUUCGGUCAUGGUAGAAUCCUAUGUAGAUUGCCUACGUAUCAUGACCCCGCAUGAAUCAGACCGAGCAUAUUUCUGGCGGAUAUGAAAAGAUAAACGACAAAGUAUUUUUUAUAUCUAUUUCUGAAAUUUUGAUAAAACAUACACCUCGACUACAAAGACUCAAAACUCAUAGACUCAAAAUAAUAUGAACAGGCUUAGAAAAGGUCAACUGAGAAAAGCUAACAGACUCCAAAACAACUUAACAGGCUAGAAACAAAAAUAUCGACUCAAAUAAAGAUCACUAAUACAUCAAAGUCUUAAACACUCAUGGAGCUUUCGAGGUUUUGUUUGGUUAUGUUGCGGGCUUGUCUGCAAGAUCCAACUGGAGCCUUUCUAAAUCUAUCAUCACUUACUGAUUGAACGUCAUGACUGCCGCGAGGAAAGUGGUUUGGGUCAUGUCUUCACAUAUUUGGCAUUUUGCCACAAUAUAUUCUGCAAUCCUUUUGAUCCUCUCGCGGAUCCUACUUCUCUCCGGUAAUAGAUUUCCAAUUUGCUGAAUUCUAGCUUCUAUAGUUGUUUGGCUACAUGACUUCAUUUUUUAUGGUGGUGUAAAUCUCUCUCUAUCUGUGAUAUAUAUAUAUAUAUAUAUAUAUAUAUAUAUAUAUAUAUAUUGUGCUCCCUUUCUGCUUCAAAAUCCCUUCCCCUCUUGGCCAUUUCAGUUUCAAUGAUCUUGACCUUUUUCUUCAUAAUUGCUAUCCCCUUGUCGUAUUUCUCCCUCAACUGACGAACAAAACUUGCUCGUUCCCCUGCAUCCUUGGCUAUCUUUUCCUAAGCACUUGCUAACUCCUUUUAAGACUUCUGUAAAUCAUCCUCGAAAUCGCGUGCCUUCUGGGUAAGUUUGUAGAUGAACUUCUCAUGCUUUUUUACUCCUGUCUGGGUUGUCAAUUGCUAUUUUCAUUUUCCGGACCUGUGCUGCGAGAGCUUCAUUUUCUUGGAUCAAUCUUCUUUUCUCACCUUCGAUUUCCUGAACCUGAAGAUCAUUGUUGAAUUCCAUGUUUCUCAUCUUUUCUUUCAAGGCAUGAAUCUCAGCUUGAUAUGCUUUUUCCUUUUCUCCCCAUGCUAAUCUUCCUUGGAUUUUGUCUUCGAAAGCAUGAACAUGAGGUCCUUUGGUGGGUCUUUCAGGUUCGGGUUCCGGCUUAGUGUUCACACAAGACCUCUUCUCUAACCAAGCAUUAUAGUGUGGAUCCACCUCUCCUUUUGCGAUAUAUGGUAUCUGGGUGCCAUUUAAAGAUACCGGCAACUAUUCCAAUCCUGAUGAACUAAAGCGUUGGGCAAUGCAGCUUCCGGAUGCAGCUCUAUAACUUGAGUACUUAAAUCUUCAUCUUCAGGUACAAUUUGAUACCGUCCCAAUUGUCUCAACACCCUCUGUGGUACAUAAGGUUGAAUAAUUUUCACACCAUUAUCCUCAAGUAGCCCUUAGCAGCAGUCAUGUAUAUGGCUUCUGUUUUCGGGAGCCAUUCGAUGAACCACUCGAUUUGACUUGCUUAGAUAGUUUUCAAAUGAGACACCCAUGCCUCAGACCCUUCUGGCACACUGUAAUCCUUUAUCCUCUCUUCAUAAACUCAAACUAUAACUCAAGAAUCUAGGAUGGUGGCGAAGAUGCUCGAUCAUCCACAUUUGUAGGAGAAUGUUCCAGCCUUCGAAGAAUUGAGCCCCACCUUUGCAUAAAGUCAACGCGCGGUAGAUAUCCGCUAGUACCAAUGGGGCAAGUGUAUGCGUUUUCAUGGUGGUGAGGAUUUGUGCGACUCUAGCCAUACGAAUAUCCACUGUCCCUUUCUUAUUUGGAAAAACCAUUACCCCCAAGAAUGCCACAAUAAAUAUAAACCGACGAUGAAGUUUCCAAAGCCCCUUAUCUUGUUUGUUGCUCAACCCCUUUUCAUGUGUCUCAAAACCAGAAGAAUGCCCAAACCUGAAGUACAAGAAAUGGAAAUCACAACACCCCUUUUCAGGUCAAAAAACUUGUGCAUCAAUGGGGUCCUUGGGAAUAUAAGCUGUUGCUUCCUUAGAUCUCAGCCAAACUCAAUGUACCCGGCUAUCUCCUCCAAUGUAGGGGUAAUCUCGAAGUAUGAGAAGUAAAAAACAUUAUAAGCGGGGUCCCAGAAAGUUAUCAUAGCCUUGAUUAGAUCAUCCCGUGGUUUGAUCUCCCAAAUGUCUAUGAGAGCGCCGAACUGCUGUCUUACCCAUUCCUGACUAUCUUGACCCAAAUCAUUCCACCAUAUGCGCAAAUGUACUCGAGCCUGAUUCCUGAUUACUUCUGGCAUGUCCUGGAUGAUAUUCAUUUGUUCCUGAAGAAAGGUAGUGUUCAGUUUGACUUUAAGGACCCUUUUGAAAACAAGUUUUGGUUUUAAAAACUAAAAGAUCAUGUUUCCCUCCUUGAUAUGCCAAGGUUGGCCAAAUGGCCUUUUUGCAAAAAUGGCCCCUUCCCAAUUCCAUAUGAAUUUUGAGGCCGUAGAGGGUUUAUUCUGUGACACUUCAAUUUUUUCCAUUCUUUUAUGAAGAUAGACCUUCGAUAACGGGAGAAUAUUCUAAGGCUUCUCGGUAAGAACAGUUUAAAAUACUACCGACACUGAAUUUACUUAUUUUCUCUCCUUUUCCCUUUUUUCUAUUUUUUAAAAGUGAGGCCGGACCUUAUGUAGGUUGCCUAUGUAUCCCAUGUCCGAUGGGAAUAAGUCCCGCAUAGUUCGGCAAAUACUACUACUUUUGAAACAAGAAUUUUUUUUUCAAUUCAUAGGUGAAUAAACAAACUAAUUUUGGACACAAGACUCUUUUUUCUUUUCAUUGGCAAAUAGAACAAACGAUUUUUGAAAACAAAACUCUCUUUUUUCAUUGGCAAAAAGAGCAAGCAAUUUUUGAAAACAAAACUCUUAUUAGCUAUUUUUGCAAACAAAGGUUUUUUUUCUUUUUAUUGACGACCAAAACUCUUUUCCCUUUCUUCCUCUUUUUUUUAUAUUUUUAAAAAAAAAUUGGUAAAGUUUCGAGGUAUUUUCAAGCAUCGAGUUUUUUAGAACUGGGUUUACUCCUUUCCCACAUCACUCUUGAUCUUUUUAACUCUCUCUUUCUUUUCCUGUUUUGAUUUUAGCUCACUGAUUUUACCUCACUCUUCUUUUCUUAUCUAGCCGGUCAGCAUACAAGCUGAAAAAAAUGUUCACGCAGCACAUUGGAUGCAUCAUGAUGGUCUGUUAUUUUGGGUACACCUGUCCUAUACGGACCCAACCCCUAUGUUGAGUCCCCAAAGUCAAAAUUCACGUGAUGUAAAUAAGCGCUCCUACUAGGGAUCCGGCAUAGGGCUGUGUUUUUCUAAGUUUAAAUCAUAGGGCUUUGAUCUAGACAUGGGGUACCCGAGCGGACAAUUGGGGCCGAGGAGGGGGCGACGUACCGGGAGCACUAAAGUGUGCCCGGCCUUGUCGCUUGCCCAACCUCGCUCUAUUUGGUAUAAUUUCUACAGAAAAUUGGGCUACGCAAACAUCUACACCAUUUUCAGAAGACUCAGAAGGGGUGGCGUAAGGAGACAAUUAUAUACAAUUCAACAAUAUUAAAGCGGUAAACAGAUAGCAUAUUAGCACAAACGUUCACAAAAGUACAAUAAUAUCAACAAUAAAUAAGCCAAGUAAAAAUCGUACGAAAAGCUUGAAUUCUUAAACCCUGAACUAGAGAUUCUGGGUUCGAUCCCCAGCAGAGUCGCUAGAGCUGUCACACCUUCUUUUGGCCAUUACACCCCAAAAAAGGGUGUAAUAAACGGGAAUUUUUUCCAAUUUAAGUGACAAUCAAAACAUGAUUUAGUAUUAACAGAUUCAUAGUUGCCACUUGGGAGAUUUAUGGUUUCCCAAGUCACCAAUUUUAAUCCUGAAUCACGGAAAAGAAUGACUCUAUUAUUAAAUCCUGCGAACCAGAACUCUGGAUAAGGAAUUCUGUUAAUGCAAGAGAAGGUUUUAGGUACUCUCGAGCUCCGUGGUUCUAGCACGGUCGCUUCGACAGCACUUGGCUUAUUUAAUUACUGGUUUUUAAACCUAUGUGCCUUUAUUUCUUUCCGCUUUUAAUUAGAAACUAUCUGAAACGGGUUAUGCGUAUGUAUAUCGGCCUGUUUGGUGCGGAUGUGGAACUGGUGACUCAAUAAUCACAAUUGAGUAUAGCAUAUUCUUUAACUAAACAGAUAAUACUAGGCAUUGAUUUUACAUGUAGCCACAAACAUGCUGAAUUUAUCACGGAAUCACAUCAACAACAGACAAACCAAAUAGUGGUUAAAAAUCAAUAGCUAUGCUCUGUCGAGUUCUUCAAAUUUCAAUGACGAAGCUUGAAGAAGCAAAAGAGAUCUUAUAACAUACACGAAUAGCAAGAGUUGUUCAAUACCACAUAUUGCAAACCCAGGAUGAAAUUUGUUAUUGCAGCUAUGUAUUAACUCAAUCCUAAGCAUAUGAGCUUAGCCUAGCGUUGAGCCAUAAAUAUAGGAAGGCAAUACUGUCAAGCCAAAUGAAGAACUAGAGACCUUCAAGCUACCAAACAUGGACAUCUGUAGCUCAGUCAAGCUGAAACUAUCACGAACUUGGAGUGAUUUUCUUAUCCUAACUGAACCAAUAGCUAAUUGUAAUAGAUGACACAAUCAUGUUCCACAAUCCCCUUUGACAAGGUAUUAAAAUGAAUGUAUGCAGACUUCAUAGCUGUAAAAUCUCCUGCAGCAACCAUCUAAACCACAAACAUACGUUGGCCAACAGUGAAUGCUCUAGCAUCUUCAACAGAAGGGAAUGCGCAGCUAAUAAUGAUCGAAAUCAAAAAAGGCAAACAGAUACAAUCUAGAAUACUUAAAAUAUGAGUACAUUAACAUGCUGCAAUCAGAUGCAUUGAUGCAUUGAGAAGAUACUAGCAUAGCUUGUAAACCACAUUAUCAUAGGAUUGUCUAUGCAUUAUCCAUAACUAUCAAUGUAAAAAAAACUACUGCUAGUCGAAAAUCUUGAGUUCAGUCCAAAACAUCACAUUAUUUCAACCUUAGGGCACAUCAAAGUCAAGGAAAUCAGCAUAACAAACAAAACUAUAUUUGAGGCAACAGGUAAAAUGGAAGAGAAGAAACAGAUAGCUAUAUAUAUUUCUUUCAAUUUCUCAUUAAAAUUUCUAACACAUGCGAGGACCCCUGCAAUCACUUGCUGCUCAUGGUUGGCAGAUUUACCUGGAAAUGAGGCAAAAAUCAAGAGAUAGGAAAUUAGUGAUCUGGUGACAGAAGAGCAGCAACAGAGAUCCCCAAAGCAUUUCAAAAUCCAAACUCAAAACAUUUCAAUCAAAGAGAGAGCAUGAAUAAUGAAUUUAUCAUUGAAGAAACUCCGAACCCCAAAGAGUGUAAUGAAAUAAUGUUUUUUAUUUUGCCUUCAGCUAUUUCUCUUAUAUUUUUGAAUGCUCCCUAUGAAGGACCCCCCUAAGGCAAGAAAAUGUGUCCUUUUAUGGGCAAAGAAAUAGGGCACCACUGUGAAAUUCAUUUUUCCUCUUAGUCCUUGUAAUAUUGGCUUGCUUGCCAAGUAAAGCAACUUUUCUAGCUUCUAGGAAGCUUCCUAGGCAACUAUACUCAGAUUCCCUAACGCUUUACCCAAUCUACCCCUGAAUUCCCUUGAUUUUACUGCAAAAGACUUAAUGGUUAUAGGUCCAAUGACCUAACAAUUGAACCAUGCCUGGGCUCAAACUGAACUAUGAGAUAAAUUCACGGCUCAGACAACACACAAAAUUUUUAAACUCAAACUACAUUAGAAUAGCCCGACAACAAAGAAUGCAAAAAUUAGCUCAGCUGACCAACCGAAUUUAAACAAAAUAGGCCAGAAAACUCACAGAUUUUUUUUUAAAAAAAAAACUGGUAUAAAGAGAACAAAAUGGGCAAAACCAAUUCUGUCUAAAACUUGUCUUUAAAAAUUUGCACUAGAAAGGAAAGAAGAAGGGGGGGGAAGGGACAAGAAAUGAGAAGCCAAGUAGUGAACGGAAUAGAAAAAGAUGAAGAUACUCACUAAGUUUGGACUCAUCCUCGACUGACCUUCUGAUUUAAACCACAAAGGGAUAUUAGUCGUCUGUUUUUUUCUUCAAUAACAGGUGAAUAACAUCGCUUUGUGAUAAUACUGGCAUUGAAUGUUCAUAGACCUUGGAGAGAUACCCUUUGCAUGAACGGGUUUCGACUUUGGCUUUUAGGGUUGGAAAUCUACAUCCAAGAUUCAAGAAAUUUCGGUUGGAUUUGGUGAAAAAUGGUUUGAUAUUUGAGCUGAGAGGGCCAAGGUGAGUUUAUGGUGUAAUUUUCGUGGAGAUUGAAGACUUUCCGCCGGCGACCAUGGCUGAGUCGCUCAGGCACAACAUAAGUUUCGUGAAGAAGAUGAGAGAAAAGGAUCGGUUUGGUCUUAGGUUAAUAGGGAAUUUCGGACACUUUUAAGAGAAUAAGGGAACUGACACCGG
rnacentral:lncRNA from 1 species